GACAGAGGGUGCAAACGUUGUUCGGAAUUACUGGGCGUAAAGCGAGUGUAGGUGGUUGUCGUAGUCAGGCGUGAAAGCCUUGAGCUCAACUCAAGAAAUGCGCUUGAUACUGGGCAGCUAGAGGACCGGAGAGGAUAGUGGAAUUCCCAGUGUAGUGGUGAAAUACGUAGAGAUUGGGAAGAACACCAGUGGCGAAGGCGGCUAUCUGGACGGUUUCUGACACUAAGACUCGAAAGCGUGGGGAGCAAACAGG
rnacentral:rRNA from 1 species